rnacentral:SRP_RNA from 1 species
AGGAGGCUGGCACGGACAUUUCUCUUGUGAACCGGGUCAGAUCUGGAAAGAAGCAGCCCUAGCAAGUUCGGUUUGGGUCGUUGCUCAGUCUCCGACA